rnacentral:piRNA from 1 species
UUGGCUCAUUGCUGGCAGUUGGAAGAAUC